rnacentral:rRNA from 1 species
AUGAACGCUGGCGGCGUGCCUAAUACAUGCAAGUCGAGCGAACAGACGAGGAGCUUGCUCCUCUGACGUUAGCGGCGGACGGGUGAGUAACACGUGGAUAACCUACCUAUAAGACUGGGAUAACUUCGGGAAACCGGAGCUAAUCCCGGAUAAUAUAUUGAACCGCAUGGUUCAAUAGUGAAAGACGGUUUUGCUGUCACUUAUAGAUGGAUCCGCGCCGCAUUAGCUAGUUGGUAAGGUAACGGCUUACCAAGGCAACGAUGCGUAGCCGACCUGAGAGGGUGAUCGGCCACACUGGAACUGAGACACGGUCCAGACUCCUACGGGAGGCAGCAGUAGGGAAUCUUCCGCAAUGGGCGAAAGCCUGACGGAGCAACGCCGCGUGAGUGAUGAAGGUCUUCGGAUCGUAAAACUCUGUUAUUAGGGAAGAACAAAUGUGUAAGUAACUAUGCACGUCUUGACGGUACCUAAUCAGAAAGCCACGGCUAACUACGUG